AGUUCCGUAGUGUUAACGUACAUGCAGGAGUGCAAAUCCUGAGACGUAGACUAGCAGUCUGCCGGGGCUU
rnacentral:tRNA from 1 species